CAUAAUUAAACAUUCUCACUGUAUACUUACGGAUAUAUACAAAAUACAAAUACACAAAUAAUAAGGCUGUCCAAUGCAGUUGACUACAGAAAUAUUUAUAUAUUUGUACACUGUCUCUAUUGUGGAGAGAGAGUCAAGCAUGACCCAGAUGAUGCCAACAUAUAGUAUGACCACAGAUAGGACAUUUUAUACAUUAAGGAAGCAGUCCAGAACAUUAUUACAUAGCAUGAGCCGACAUCAUUCAAUGGACAACAUUAAUAACAUUCUCCUGACACUCAGGUCUACAUUUAAACAGCUACAUUUAUUAUAAUUACUGCUCAGGGUCUUGGGCUCUGAAAUUGGGGACAUCUAGGCUGCUGGGUCUACGAACCCUUAAGACCUGAAACAUCCCUCUCAACAGGUAUAUCUUUGUUUAAAAUCCAGUAUGUCUAUAUAUAUAUAUAUAUAUACAUUUUUUUUUUUUUUUUCCUGGCUUAUUAGGUCUGACUGUCAGCAGUCCUGGUGCUUUCACUCCUGUCCCUCCUGCAACACCAGUGUCAAGUGAUGACUUCAAACAGCUAUCGAAGUUGAUUGUAGUUGUGACUGUUUGUGGAGUAUCUGUGGGCGUCAUCCUGCUGGGAUCUGCAGUUCUUUCAAUCACAAAAAGGACCGGAAAAUGUGUUCGCCUCAGCCCCAAAGCCAACACCACCAGUAAAUCAAAAUAUGUGUGUGGAUAUAUGGAAAGUCUCAACAUUGGAGAGUACCUGCCGAGUGGUUACGAUGAAACUUACAGUAUCGUCACUUAUGAAUUCAGCAAAAUUGAGUGACAAACGUUGACCGCAGCACUUCAGAGGAAGCAGCUGCAUCAGACCAGAGAGAUAAUGUGUGCAGCACUCGAAAAGCAUUUUGAAGUUAUACAAUUGUGUUUCUUGGAAAGAUUUGAGAUGAGUCUAAAAUACUGUGGAUUGGUGGGGUUACGUCCAUUUGUUUUAAAGAGGCUGGUAUUUGUUUAAUCUAACACAAAGUAUAACAAUCUGUUGAAACAAGUGAGUAAGUUCGGGUCAACUGCCUAUAAACAUGUGGAAUAUUUAUAUCUAAGGAAUACUAAAGAAUAUUCACGUUCAGGCAAAAAAAAACAUUUAUACAAUCAUGAUAAAGAAACUAGGAGCUCUUCCAUAUUAGACUUCUCCAAAAUAAUUAUAUACAGUGUACAUUUUAGCUUCAAUAUUUUGGUGUAAUUAUUGACCGUGUGCUGUCAGGUAUGUUCCUUGUGGGAUAUAUUUUCUGAGAUAACGCAUAACCGAUAAUCAAUCAAUCUAUUAAGUAGUUCCAGUAGGAAAUUAUUGCAUUAUUUACCACUUACUUUUUGUUUUUACUGCUUAUAUUCUAUAAUAUCUAUAAACAAUGUUAAACCUAUGGCCUGUGCUACUACUCUGUGUGUGUGUGAAGGUCAGCCAACAGGAUGAGGUGUGAAAAACGCAAACGCAUCCUUUAUAUGGCUAUGAUAAACUCUUGUUUUGCCAAGCUUACAGAGAUAAAUGAUUAGAACCGGUCCCACAGAGAUAAGUUGUUGGAGAGACCAGGUACGCCCAGCUAACAAGGGAAGAUGUAGCAAUUAGACGGGGCUGCUGGUAGACAAGGUACCGUUUUUAAUAGGCUGAAGCCAUGGGACAAUGCAUGGGUGGAUUGACCAAGAAAACAAACUUAGAGGCGCUAGAUAAGAUACGGUUAUGUUUUGAAAAUCAUCAGCAUGUAUGGUUAAAGGAAAAAGGCUGGUGAAACAAUAGUUGGGUGGGGUGUCUGUUUUCCCCAACAAGCCCUACAGAAAAAGGAGCUAUUGAAUAAAUGUAUGUCUUUUUACUCAGGGUUCAGUCUGCUGCAUGGCCCAGCUUGAUUUACCUGUACUCUGUCUUGAUUUUACAAUAAAUCUUUAUUACAUUGAACUCUA